CUCUUUAAGCUAAAUCUUUCUCCCACUGCCUCCAUCUUGCAUAAACUUUUUUUUCAAGAAAACGGUAUGACGGCUCACAAUCACAUUGUGAUUCUUAGGAAGAUAGAAGUAGUAUCCCAUGGAUUACUUAAGAUACCCUAUAAAGUGGGCUCUAAAAGAUCUAGCCUCUAAUUUAUCCUCCUACUGUCGCUUGACAUGGAUCAG
rnacentral:lncRNA from 1 species